rnacentral:rRNA from 1 species
CCUGCUCCAUGAUAUAAAUAGCCGCUAUUAUAUAGUGCUAAGGUAGCAUAAUCACUUGUCUUUUAAUUUGAGAAUAGAAUGAAUGGAUAAACGAAUUAAAAACUUUAUUUAAAUUAAUUUAUAAAACUAAUAUAAGAGUAAAAAAGCUUUUUAGAAAAGAAAAGACGACAAGACCCUAAAGAACUUUACUAAAAGUUAAGCUGGGGAGGCUACAAAAUAUAAAAACUAUCAAAUAAUAAAAAUACCUAUUCAUUAAAUAUAUAAAUAUAAGUUACCUUAGGGAUAACAGAAUAAUUAAGACAAAGAGAUCUUAUCAAUAUCUAUUAAUUAUUACCUCGAUGUUGAAUUACUUAACAAAUAAAAGCAAAUUUUUAACUAGUAAGUCUGUUCGACUUUUAAAUAAGUACAU